rnacentral:rRNA from 1 species
AUGCACGCUGGCGGCGUGCCUAAUACCUGCAAGUCGAGCGAACGGACGAGAAGCUUGCUUCUCUGAUGUUAGCGGCGGACGGGUGAGUAACACGUGGAUAACCUACCUAUAAGACUGGGAUAACUUCGGGAAACCGGAGCUAAUACCGGAUAAUAUUUUGAACCGCAUGGUUCAAAAGUGAAAGACGGUCUUGCUGUCACUUAUAGAUGGAUCCGCGCUGCAUUAGCUAGUUGGUAAGGUAACGGCUUACCAAGGCAACGAUGCAUAGCCGACCUGAGAGGGUGAUCGGCCACACUGGAACUGAGACACGGUCCAGACUCCUACGGGAGGCAGCAGUAGGGAAUCUUCCGCAAUGGGCGAAAGCCUGACGGAGCAACGCCGCGUGAGUGAUGAAGGUGUUCGGAUCGUAAAACUCUGUUAUUAGGGAAGAACAUAUGUGUAAGUAACUGUGCACAUCUUGACGGUACCUAAUCAGAAAGCCACGGCUAACUACGUG